rnacentral:rRNA from 2 species
CGUGGGUAACCUGCCCUUGAAGUAGGGGAUAACACUUGGAAACAGGUGCUAAUACCGUAUAACAACCAAAACCACCUGGUUUUGGUUUAAAAGACGGCUUCGGCUGUCACUUUAGGAUGGACCCGCGGCGUAUUAGCUUGUUGGUAAGGUAACGGCCUACCAAGGCGAUGAUACGUAGCCGACCUGAGAGGGUAAUCGGCCACAUUGGGACUGAGACACGGCCCAAACUCCUACGGGAGGCAGCAGUAGGGAAUCUUCCACAAUGGACGAAAGUCUGAUGGAGCAACGCCGCGUGAGUGAUGAAGGGUUUCGGCUCGUAAAACUCUGUUGUUGGAGAAGAACAGGUGUCAGAGUAACUGUUGACAUCUUGACGGUAUCCAACCAGAAAGCCACGGCUAACUACGUGCCAGCAGCCGCGGUAAUACGUAGGUGGCAAGCGUUGUCCGGAUUUAUUGGGCGUAAAGCGAGCGCAGGCGGUUUUUUAGGUCUGAUGUGAAAGCCUUCGGCUUAACCGGAGAAGUGCAUCGGAAACCGGGAGACUUGAGUGCAGAAGAGGACAGUGGAACUCCAUGUGUAGCGGUGAAAUGCGUAGAUAUAUGGAAGAACACCAGUGGCGAA